rnacentral:rRNA from 1 species
GAGUUUGAUCUUGGCUCAGAUUGAACGCUGGCGGCAUGCCUUACACAUGCAAGUCGAACGGCAGCACGGGAGCUUGCUCCUGGUGGCGAGUGGCGAACGGGUGAGUAAUGCAUCGGAACGUAUCCUGGAGUGGGGGAUAACGUAGCGAAAGUUACGCUAAUACCGCAUACUCUGUGAGCAGGAAAGCGGGGGACCUUCGGGCCUCGCGCUCUUGGAGCGGCCGAUGUCGGAUUAGCUAGUUGGUGAGGUAAAGGCUCACCAAGGCGACGAUCCGUAACAGGUCUGAGAGGAUGAUCUGCCACACUGGAACUGAGACACGGUCCAGACUCCUACGGGAGGCAGCAGUGGGGAAUUUUGGACAAUGGGGGCAACCCUGAUCCAGCCAUGCCGCGUGAGUGAAGAAGGCCU